UACGGGGGGAGCAAGCGUUGUUCGGAUUUACUGGGCGUAAAGGGCGCGUAGGCGGCCAAUGCAAGUCAGUUGUGAAAUCUCCGGGCUUAACCCGGAAAGGUCAACUGAUACUGCAGGGCUAGAGUGCAGAAGGGGCAACUGGAAUUCUCGGUGUAGCGGUGAGAUGCGUAGAUAUCGAGAGGAACACCUGCGGCGAAGGCGGGUUGCUGGGCUGACACUGACGCUGAUGUGCGAAAGCUAGGGGAGCGAACGGG
rnacentral:rRNA from 1 species